CAACAGGGAUUGCCUUAGUAACGGCGAGUGAAGCGGCAACAGCUCAAAUUUGAAAUCUGGUCCCCCCGGGGCCCGAGUUGUAAUUUGCAGAGGGUGCUUCGGCGUCGGCUCCGGUCCAAGUUCCUUGGAACAGGACGUCACAGAGGGUGAGAACCCCGUACGUGGCCGGAAGUCUUCGCCGUGUGAAGCCCCUUCGACGAGUCGAGUUGUUUGGGAAUGCAGCUCUAAAUGGGAGGUAAAUUUCUUCUAAAGCUAAAUACCGGCCAGAGACCGAUAGCGCACAAGUAGAGUGAUCGAAAGAUGAAAAGCACUUUGGAAAGAGAGUUAAAAAGCACGUGAAAUUGUUAAAAGGGAAGCAGUUGCAGCCAGACUUGGCCGCGGGCGUUCAACCGUGCUUCUGCACGGUGUACUCGACCGCGGUCAGGCCAGCAUCAGUUCGGGCGGCCGGAUAAAGGUCCUGGGAAUGUGGCUCCCCUCGGGGAGUGUUAUAGCCCGGGGCGUAAUACGGCCAGCCUGGACUGAGGUCCGCGCUUCGGCUAGGAUGCUGGCAUAAUGGCUGUAACUGGCCCGUCUUGAAACACGGACCAAGGAGUCUAACAUCUAUGCGAGUGUUUGGGUGUCAAACCCAUACGCGUAAUGAAAGUGAACGGAGGUGAGAGCCGCAAGGCGCAUCAUCGACCGAUCCUGAUGUCUUCGGAUGGAUUUGAGUAUGAGCAUAGCUGUUGGGACCCGAAAGAUGGUGAACUAUGCCUGAAUAGGGUGAAGCCAGAGGAAACUCUGGUGGAGGCUCGCAGCGGUUCUGACGUGCAAAUCGAUCGUCAAAUUUGGGUAUAGGGGCGAAAGACUAAUCGAACCAUUGACCUACUAGGUGGUUAACAGGCGGCUAAAAGUGCCCGCCUAGUCCCUUCACUCGGGGCGACGCUAUCAAAUUGCGGGGACAUCCUUAGAGCUCAGGCUACCGCGGCCCGCCGAAAGGCAGGGUGCAGCACCGGGGUAACGACCCAGGGGAAGGUAAAAACGCCUGAGAUUGGACAAUCCGCAGCCAAGUCCUAAACGCCCUCGGGGCGCACGGAUGCAGUUCACAGACUAGAUGGUAGCGGGUCGCCCUCAACGGGCGGCUUAAGAUAUAGUCGACUCCCCGCGGAGACGCGGGCGACGGGGCAAAGCUCGAAGGAUGGGUGAGCGGCGAGCGGCCGCGCCUGAGAGCCCGAACCCCGUCGGGAAGCGCGCGUUCGC
rnacentral:rRNA from 1 species